rnacentral:rRNA from 1 species
CACUCCUACGGGGAGGCAGCAGUAGGGAAUCUUCCACAAUGGGCGCAAGCCUGAUGGAGCAACACCGCGUGAGUGAAGAAGGGUUUCGGCUCGUAAAGCUCUGUCGUUAAAGAAGAACACGUAUGAGAGUAACUGUUCAUACGUUGACGGUAUUUAACCAGAAAGUCACGGCUAACUACGUGCCAGCAGCCGCGGUAAUACGUAGGUGGCAAGCGUUAUCCGGAUUUAUUGGGCGUAAAGAGAGUGCAGGCGGUUUUCUAAGUCUGAUGUGAAAGCCUUCGGCUUAACCGGAGAAGUGCAUCGGAAACUGGAUAACUUGAGUGCAGAAGAGGGUAGUGGAACUCCAUGUGUAGCGGUGGAAUGCGUAGAUAUAUGGAAGAACACCAGUGGCGAAGGCGGCUACCUGGUCUGCAACUGACGCUGAGACUCGAAAGCAUGGGUAGCGAACAGGAUUAGAUACCCUGGUAG